UACGUAGUGUGCAAGCGUUGUCCGGAAUUAUUGGGCGUAAAUAGCUCUUAUGCUGUUCGUCUCGUCGGCUGUGAAAUCCCGAGGCUCAACCUCGGGUCUGCAGUCGAUACGGGCGGACUGGAGUUCGGCAGGGGAGACUGGAAUUCCUGGUGUAGCGGUGAAAUGCGCAGAUAUCAGGAGGAACACCGGUGGCGAAGGCGGGUCUCUGGGCCGAUACUGACGCUGAGGAGCGAAAGCGUGGGGAGCGAACAGG
rnacentral:rRNA from 1 species